GUAACUGACGCUGAGGAGCGAAAGCAUGGGGAGCGAACAGGAUUAGAUACCCUGGUAGUCCAUGCCGUAAACGUUGGGCACUAGGUGUGGGGGACAUUCCACGUUUUCCGCGCCGUAGCUAACGCAUUAAGUGCCCCGCCUGGGGAGUACGGCCGCAAGGCUAAAACUCAAAGGAAUUGACGGGGGCCCGCACAAGCGGCGGAGCAUGCGGAUUAAUUCGAUGCAACGCGAAGAACCUUACCAAGGCUUGACAUGUUCCUGACCGCCGUAGAGAUACGGUUUCCCCUUUGGGGCAGGUUCACAGGUGGUGCAUGGUUGUCGUCAGCUCGUGUCGUGAGAUGUUGGGUUAAGUCCCGCAACGAGCGCAACCCUCGUUCCAUGUUGCCAGCACGUAGUGGUGGGGACUCAUGGGAGACUGCCGGGGUCAACUCGGAGGAAGGUGGGGACGACGUCAAAUCAUCAUGCCCCUUAUGUCUUGGGCUUCACGCAUGCUACAAUGGCCGGUACAAUGGGUUGCGAUACUGUGAGGUGGAGCUAAUCCCAAAAAGCCGGUCUCAGUUCGGAUUGGGGUCUGCAACUCGACCCCAUGAAGUCGGAGUCGCUAGUAAUCGCAGAUCAGCAACGCUGCGGUGAAUACGUUCCCGGGCCUUGUACACACCGCCCGUCAAGUCACGAAAGUUGGUAACACCCGAAGCCGGUGGCCUAACCCUUGUGGGGGGAGCCGU
rnacentral:rRNA from 1 species